rnacentral:rRNA from 1 species
UACCAGCACCCCGAGUGGUCGGGACGAUUAUUGGGCCUAAAGCAUCCGUAGCCGGUUCUGCAAGUCCCCCGUUAAAUCCAGCUGCUCAACAGAUGGGCCGCGGAGGAUACUACAGAGCUAGGAGGCAGGAGAGGCAAGCGGUACUCAGUGGGUAGGGGUAAAAUCCGUUGAUCCAUUGAAGACCACCAGUGGCGAAGGCGGCUUGCCAGAAUGCGCUCGACGGUGAGGGAUGAAAGCUGGGGAGCAACCGGG